rnacentral:rRNA from 1 species
CGAGUUCUGGCUCAGGAUGAACGCUAGCUACAGGCUUAACACAUGCAAGUCGAGGGGCAGCAUGACGAUAGCUUGCUAUUGUCGAUGGCGACCGGCGCACGGGUGAGUAACGCGUAUCCAACCUUCCCCAUAGUAGGGCAUAGCCCGUAGAAAUGCGGAUUAAUACCCUAUGUUUUCCGAAGCAGACAUCUAAUUUGGAACAAAGGUUCACCGCUAUGGGAUGGGGAUGCGUCUGAUUAGGUUGUUGGCGGGUAACGGCCCACCAAGCCUUCGAUCAGUAGGGGUUCUGAGAGGAAGGUCCCCCACAUUGGAACUGAGACACGGUCCAAGCUCCUACGGGAGGCAGCAGUGAGGAAUAUUGGUCAAUGGGCGAGAGCCUGAACCAGCCAAGUAGCGUGCAGGAAGACGGCCCUAUGGGUUGUAAACUGCUUUUAUGCGGGGAUAAAGUGGGCUACGUGUAGUCCUUUGCAGGUACCGCAUGAAUAAGGACCGGCUAAUUCCGUGCCAGCAGCUGC